GGGGUGGGUGGGGAGGAGGUGCGUGGCUCGGGUUCACAUCUCCAUCCCUCCCGCGCCAAGUGUCAGGUCAGCGCCAAACGGAGGAGGAGAAAUGCGGCGGUUUAAUCAGAGAAAUUUGCCAGCUGUUAAUGCAUUCUUACAAAGAUGGGUUAAGAGGAGAGGACCAAGGACAGAGCACUGAGGAAUGCUGCACGAGACAGUCUGGGGGCUGGAGGAGAAGCUGUUCGUGGAGACAAACUGGAGAUGGUGCGAAAGGUGUCAACUUCGAUGAGUUAAGACUGUCCCAUGUUUGCUUUAAGUCAAAAUGUUGUGGGUUUAAUCCCCAUGUUGGAAC